rnacentral:rRNA from 1 species
AGUGAACGCUGGCGGUAGGCCUAACACAUGCAAGUCGAACGGCAGCACAGUAAGAGCUUGCUCUUACGGGUGGCGAGUGGCGGACGGGUGAGGAAUACAUCGGAAUCUACUUUUUCGUGGGGGAUAACGUAGGGAAACUUACGCUAAUACCGCAUACGACCUACGGGUGAAAGCAGGGGAUCUUCGGACCUUGCGCGAUUGAAUGAGCCGAUGUCGGAUUAGCUAGUUGGCGGGGUAAAGGCCCACCAAGGCGACGAUCCGUAGCUGGUCUGAGAGGAUGAUCAGCCACACUAGAACUGAGACACGGGCCAGACUCCUACUGGAGGCAGCAGUGGGGAAUAUUGGACAAUGGGCGCAAGCCUGAUCCAGCCAUACCGCGUGGGUGAAGAAGGCCUUCGGGUUGUAAAGCCCUUUUGUUGGGAAAGAAAAGCAGCAGGUUAAUACCCCGCUGUUCUGACGGUACCCAAAGAAUAAGCACCGGCUAACUUCGUG